UACGAAGGGGGCUAGCGUUGCUCGGAAUCACUGGGCGUAAAGGGUGCGUAGGCGGGUCUUUAAGUCAGGGGUGAAAUCCCAGGGCUCAACCCUGGAACUGCCUUUGAUACUGACGAUCUGGAGAUCGGGAGAGGUUGGUGGAAUUCCGAGUGUAGAGGUGAAAUUCGUAAAUAUUCGGAGGAACACCAGAAGCGAAGGCGGCCAACUGGCCCGAUACUGACGCUGAGGCGCGAAAGCGUGGGGAGCAAACAGG
rnacentral:rRNA from 1 species